CGUUGGGAGCUCUCCCAUAUGGUCGACCUGCAGGCGGCCGCGAAUUCACUAGUGAUUAGAGUUUGAUCCUGGCUCAGGAUGAACGCUGGCGGUAUGCUUAACACAUGCAAGUCGAACGGAGCUUUUCGGAGCUUAGUGGCGGACGGGUGAGUAACGCGUGAGAAUCUGCCUACAGGUUCGGGACAACAGUUGGAAACGACUGCUAAUACCGGAUGUGCCGAGAGGUAAAAGCUUAAUGUGCCUGUAGAUGAGCUCGCGUCCGAUUAGCUAGUUGGUGAGGUAAGGGCUCACCAAGGCGGUGAUCGGUAGCUGGUCUGAGAGGAUGAUCAGCCACACUGGGACUGAGACACGGCCCAGACUCCUACGGGAGGCAGCAGUGGGGAAUUUUCCGCAAUGGGCGAAAGCCUGACGGAGCAAUACCGCGUGAGGGAGGAAGGCUUUUGGGUCGUAAACCUCUUUUAUUGGGGAAGAAGAUCUGACGGUACCCAAUGAAUCAGCAUCGGCUAACUCCGUGCCAGCAGCCGCGGUAUAAAUCGAAUUCCCGCGGCCGCCAUGGCGGCCGGGAGCAUGCGACGUCG
rnacentral:rRNA from 1 species